rnacentral:tRNA from 1 species
CUCAUAGCUCAGUUGGUUAGAGCACACGCUUGAUAAGCGUGAGGUCGAUGGUUCAAAUCCAUCUGGGCC